rnacentral:tRNA from 1 species
GAUCUCGUGGCCGCGGGGGUGGGUGACCUGCCGGGUUCUGGUCUCGGCGACGGCGACGUCCCAUCGCGCGGGGUCGAGCCCGGCCGCGAUCUCC